rnacentral:tRNA from 1 species
AGCCGGUUCCUCGGAGGUAAUCUAUCUUGAAAAUAGAAAUAAGGUGUUCAACUCAUCCUACUGGCUU